rnacentral:tRNA from 1 species
CCCUGGGUGGUGUAAAAAGUAAAGCAUGUGGCUGCCAACCAAAAGGGUGGUGGUUCAAGUCCACCCACAGGUA